rnacentral:rRNA from 1 species
GAUGAACGCUGGCGGCGUGCCUAAUACAUGCAAGUCGAGCGAACGGAUAAGGAGCUUGCUCCUUUGAAGUUAGCGGCGGACGGGUGAGUAACACGUGGGUAACCUACCUAUAAGACUGGAAUAACUUCGGGAAACCGGAGCUAAUGCCGGAUAACAUUUGGAACUGCAUGGUUCUAAAGUAAAAGAUGGUUUUGCUAUCACUUAUAGAUGGACCCGCGCCGUAUUAGCUAGUUGGUAAGGAAACGGCUUACCAAGGCAACGAUACGUAGGCGACCUGAGAGGGUGAUCGGCCACACUGGAACUGAGACACGGUCCAGACUCCUACGAGAGGCAGCAGUAGGGAAUCUUCCGCAAUGGACGAAAGUCUGACGGAGCAACGCCGCGUGAGUGAUGAAGGUUUUCGGAUCGUAAAACUCUGUUAUUAGGGAAGAACAAAUGGGUAAGUAACUGUGCACAUCUUGACGGUACCUAAUCAGAAAGCCACGGCUAACUACGUGCCAGCAGCCGCGGUAA